UAUGGCCUAAUUGAAGUUGUU
rnacentral:piRNA from 1 species